rnacentral:rRNA from 1 species
UACGGAGGAUCCGAGCGUUAUCCGGAUUUACUGGGUGUAAAGGGAGCGUAGACGGCAGCGCAAGUCUGGAGUGAAAUGCCGGGGCCCAACCCCGGAACUGCUCUGGAAACUGUGAAGCUGGAGUGCAGGAGAGGUAAGCGGAAUUCCUGGUGUAGCGGUGAAAUGCGUAGAUAUUAGGAGGAACACCAGUGGCGAAGGCGGCUUACUGGACUGUAACUGACGUUGAGGCUCGAAAGCGUGGGGAGCAAACAGG